rnacentral:rRNA from 1 species
AACGAACGCUGGCGGCGUGUUUAAGACAUGCAAGUUGCACGGUGUCAUUUUGGUAGCAAUACUUGAAUGGCAUAGUGGCGCACGGGUGAGUAACACGUGAAUUACAUGCCCUGUAGAGGGGGAUAGCCCAGGGAAACUUGGAUUAAUACCCCAUGGUCUCGCAAGAGUAAAGGUGGCAGCAAGGCUGUCGCUACAGGAUUGGUUCGCGCCCUAUCAGCUUGUUGGCGGGGUAACGGCCCACCAAGGCUACGACGGGUACCUGGUCUGAGAGGACGAUCAGGCACACUGGAACUGAGACACGGUCCAGACACCUACGGGUGGCAGCAGUCGAGAAUAAUUCACAAUGGGGGCAACCCUGAUGGUGCAACGCCGCGUGGAGGAUGACGGUCUUCGGAUUGUAAACUCCUGUCAUCCGGGAGUAAGACCUGGGAGUUAAUAGCUCACAGGGUUGAUAGUACCGGAAGAGGAAGGGACGGCUAACUUCGUGCCAGCAGCCGCGGUAAAAC